UUGAUUGCACAAUGUGGGAGACACAGU
rnacentral:piRNA from 1 species